CCUUGUACACACCGCCCGUCACACCAUGGGAGUGAGUUGCCCCAGAAGCCGUUAGUCUAACCGCAAGGGGGACGACGACCACGGAGUGGUUCAUGACUGGGGUG
rnacentral:rRNA from 1 species